CUCACGACUAGUUUCACCUAAAAAAUUCACCUAACUACUGAACUAAAGCAUUACCCAAACUUAGUAUAGGCGAUAGAAAAGACUACCUCCUGGCGCGAUAGAAAGCUGUACCGUAAGGGAAAGAUGAAAUAGUAGUGAAAAACCCAAGCAAUAAACAGCAAAGAUAGACCCUUGUACCUUUUGCAUCAUGAUUUAGCAAGAAAUAACCAAGCAAAAUGAACUUAAGCUUGCCCCCCCGAAACCCAAGCGAGCUACUUAUAGGCAGCUAUUUGAGCGAACCCGUCUCUGUUGCAAAAGAGUGGGAUGACCUAUUAGUAGAGGUGAAAAGCCAAUCGAGCUGGGUGAUAGCUGGUUGCCCGUGAAACGAAUCUGAGUUCUACCUUAACUUACCCUGUCGAUGAAGUUCAACCAAUCACCUUUAAUGUGGAAAGUUAAGAGCAACUUAAAGGAGGUACAGCUCCUUUAAAAAAGAAUACAAUCUCCCCUAGUGGAUAAAGUCUUCCCCUCCUCCUCCUGUAGGCCUUAAAGCAGCCAACAACAAAGAAUGCGUCAAAGCUCACUUACCUAAAAAUCCAAAGACAUCAUGACUCCCUUACCUCUAACGGGCUAACCUAUACCUAUAGAAGAAUUAAUGCUAAAAUAAGUAACUUGGAGCCCCUACCUCCUCUUAGACGCAAGCUUACAUUCCCCCAAUUAUUAACAGAUCAGCUAAUACUACAACCCCUACGAGCCUAAAUAUUAACCUUUCUGUUACCCCAACAUCGGAGCGCCCAUUAAGAAGGAUUAAAAUCUGUAAAAGGAACUAGGCAAACCCAGGGCCCGACUGUUUACCAAAAACAUAGCCUUCAGCCAGCCAAGUAUUGAAGGUGAUGCCUGCCCAGUGACACACGUUUAACGGCCGCGGUAUCCUAACCGUGCGAAGGUAGCGCAAUCAAUUGUCCCAUAAAUCGAGACUUGUAUGAAUGGCUAAACGAGGUCCUAACUGUCUCUUACAGAUAAUCAGUGAAAUUGAUCUUCCUGUGCAAAAGCAGGAAUAGCCUCAUAAGACGAGAAGACCCUGUGGAACUUUAAAAUCAGCGGCCACCCCACAAACAAACCCUACCCUACUGGAUCUACUACCCUAAAACGCUGGCUCGCAUUUUUCGGUUGGGGCGACCUUGGAGAAAAACGAAUCCUCCAAAGACAAGACCACACCUCUUAACCAAGAGCAACAUCUCUACGUGCUAAUAGUAACCAGACCCAAUACAAUUGAUUAAUGAACCAAGCUACCCCAGGGAUAACAGCGCAAUCUCCUUCAAGAGCCCAUAUCGACGAGGAGGUUUACGACCUCGAUGUUGGAUCAGGACAUCCUAAUGGUGCAGCCGCUAUUAAGGGUUCGUUUGUUCAACGAUUAACAGUCCUACGUGAUCUGAGUUCAGACCGGAGUAAUCCAGGUCGGUUUCUAUCUAUGAUGAACUUCCCCCAGUACGAAAGGACCGGGAAAGUGAGGCCAAUACCACAAGCACGCCUCCCCCCAAGUAAUGAACCCAACUAAAUUACCAAAAGGCCACCCAUCCUCUUCGCCCUAGAUAAGGGCCA
rnacentral:rRNA from 1 species